AAAAAAAAAAAAAUCAAAGCAGUUAGCACAGCUCUUUUGUAAAGCAAGAAAACAAAAAAGAAAAGUUCUCUUCGCAGAGCAGUAGCAACGGCAGCAAAGGUGAUUCAACAACCACAAUUCAACGCUUCAACUUCUGACCUUGAUGACGGAAAACGGCAAUUGUUAAAACCCUCUGAUAAAGCGGAGAUCAGAUGGUCUAUCUUUACUGAAAUCACGAACAGAGUAUUGUGGUGAAACUAGGAAUCGCUUUAGAUGGCGAGAUAAAGGGGAAAACAAGAGAAAAGAUCAGGUGUUGUGAUUUGCAUACAACGCAGACGCACCGAGAUGCCAGAGUUCUGUGUAACAGGUGGGACCGGAUUCAUAGGAGCCUACCUAGUGAAGGCCUUGCUUGAAAAGGGCUACCAUGUUCGGACCACGGUACGCGACCCAGAUGAUGAACGGAAGGUUAGUUUCCUUUGGAACAUGAGUGGGGCCCAGGAUAGGCUAAAAGUUUUGAAAGCUGAUCUAAUGGUGGAUGGGAGCUUUGAUGACGCGGUGGACGGUGUGGAUGGUGUGUUCCACACAGCAUCUCCUGCUAAUAUGGGUCAUGGCGACAACGUUCAGGCGACUUUGAUCAAACCAUGUAUAAAAGGCACGACGAAUGUGAUGAGAUCCUGCGCGAAAGCGAAAUCCGUGAAGCGUGUUGUGCUUACAUCUUCAUGUUCUACGAUCAGGUACCGUGAAGAUGCAACACAAAUCUCCCCUCUCAAUGAGUCACAUUGGAGUGAUAUUGAGUACUGCAAGCGUUACAAGUUGUGGUAUGCGUAUGCGAAAACAGUAGGAGAAAGAGAGGCUUGGCGAUUAGCGAAGGAGAGUGGGAUCGAUCUUAUGGCGGUGAAUCCAUCUUAUGUGGUGGGCCCCUUGAUUGCACCAGAGCCCACCAGCACCCUCCUCAAGGUCCUCAACAUUGUAAAAGAGAAGUUCCGUGGAUUUAGAACAGUUAUCCCUCUAAGGAAGAUGGUGCUCGACCUCUACACGUCCUCCCCUGUGUCAGCUCUGGACGUGGAUGGCAUGCCAAAGCCUUUUUGCAAGAACUUUCUCCGGGAAGCUAGGAGAGAGCAGUGUCUAUCCAAACAUAACCAUUGGGUUUGUCCACAUCGACGAUGUGAUCGCAGCCCACAUACUGGCCAUGGAGGAGACUAGAGCCACAGGCAGGCUCAUAUGUUCAAGCUCAGUCACUCAUUGGUCAGAGAUCAUCAAGAUGCUCAAGGCCAAAUAUCCAUCCUACCCAAUCCCAAACAAGUGUGGUGAACAAGAAGGAGACAACAACCCACAUAGCAUGGACACAGGCAAGAUCGAGCAGUUGGGAUUCCCCACCUUCAAGACACUCCCUCAGAUGUUUGAUGAUUGCAUCAAAACCUUCCAGGAGAAGGGAUUUCUGUGAAAUCAUUGAUGAUGGUCCAACUUACACUUUCACUUGAUGCAUGGCCCACUGAUUUCUCAAUACAAAGGUUCCCCACCUGUAGCUUACUGUUA